ensembl:lincRNA
CCCCAGCUAACGGUUCCUGGGUCGUGCCCCCCCCCAGGGAGGGGAGUGAGGGGCCCCUCCCCUGCAGACAGCAAGAGCCUGUCCCCCCUCCACUGUCUUGUCAGGGGAUCCAGGAUGGGAGGCUGCCCCCUCUUUCUCCUCAUCCAGCCAGCUGUCCCUGAUGGUUCUCUCCCACCCAGUGAGGCGGAGUGAGGGGACCCUCCCCUGCAGACAGCAAGAGCCUGUCCCCCCUCCACUGUCUUGUCAGGGGACCCAGGAUGGGAGGCUGCCCCCCCUUUCUCCUCAUCCGGCCAGCUGUCCCUGAUGGUUCCCCCUGUGUCUGUACCCAGGUGCCCUGAUGGGAAGGUCAUGAUCACGGACUCUACCCCCUGGAGCAACGUCAAGCGUGUGGACCAAGAAUCAGGCACCCUGGCCCAUGGGGAGGCCCCAGUUCCUGGAGAGCCAGCAACCAUGAGCCAGACACUACCCAUCACUCCCUCUCCCUCCUCAGGCACUUCAGGGCUGGGGAUUGGAACUGUAACUGGACUUGGAAUUGUCCUAAUCGGAUGUGUUGUAUGGUGCUUCUUUAACGGUCUCUUUCAUGAGUGCUGGCACAAGGUGAUCGGUUUCUCCAGCACUGACCCUCAGUAACUGGUUCCGCCCCCACAACAAUUCCCAGGGUGGACGUGGUACCCGGUUUGUCCUAUGCUGUUGUCUCUCUCAACUGGCCUGGGGGCUCUAGGCUGAAUGUAGGAGGGAGACUGGCUUCAAAAUAAGGGUGAAGCAAGGUUAUUUUUCUUUUUCUUUUUUUUUUUACCUUGUUAUUAAAUAUAUUUGUCUGUUUAUUGACAGAAUGCUGUUCAUUAAUUGUUAUUAAAUAUAUAAAACAGUUAAUUAUUUAGAAUUUUGAGAACAUGAUAGAUCAAUAAAAUGGCAUAGAAGAAAAGUAUCCUGCAUUCAACACAUUUUUGAGAAUUUUUAAAAUUUUCUCAUAAUGAAAAGAGAUAUUUGAAAUAAAUGUGUUCAAAAAUGGAUUCCCAAAUGUACAAGGAAGUAUCUCAAAGACUGUAAUGGACCAAAUCUCAACCUGUGUGUCCCUGCUGGUGUGACGCACAGCAUUGCAUUCUGACUUGCCCUUGUCAGUAUUUUCGAUCAACAACUUAGAUGAAUACACAAGAGACUUGCUGAAUAAAAACGCAAAUGAUAGAAAACAAAGAACCACAAUUAAUACAUUGAACAACAUAAUCCAAAAAUAGUUUAAACAUCAGUGGACUAGAAGGUAGCCUAAACUUAACAAGGUGAAUUUUUAUGAAGGGUUUAUAGUCAUGUCUUUUUAUUAAAAAAUACAAGGAGAGACUGACAGAAGAUAUGAAUAGACAUUUUUUCCCCCGAAAGACAUACAGAUGGCCAGUAGAUAAAUGAAUAGAUGCUCAACAUCUCUAAUCAUCAGCGAAAUGCAGAUCAAAACCACAAUGAAAUAUCACCUCAUACUCCUGAAUGACUGUUACCAAAAUGACAAUAAAUAACUAAGUGUUGGUGAGGAUAUGGAGAGAGGAGAACAUUUAUGAUGGUUGGUAGGACUCUGAGUUGGUACAGCCACUGUGGAAAACAUUAUGAAGGUUUCUGUGACACGUGAACAGUGGCUGUUCUAUGGAUGGUCUAUGUGUGUUGCCACAGAAAAUGACCCCAAAAUUACUUAAAAAAAGAUUAAUGCAUUUAUUUUUGGCUGUUCGGGGUCUUUGUUGCGGAACAAGGGCUUUCUCUCGUUGUGGUGAGGGGGGCUGCUCCGUGCUGCUUCUCAUCGUGGUGCACAGGCCCUAGAGCACAGGAGCAGUAGCUGUGGCUCCCAGGCUUAGCUGCCCCGCAACAUGUAGGGUCUUCCCAGACCAGCGAUGCAACCUGUGUCCCCUGCUUUGACAGGCGAUUCUUAACCACUGGACCAGCCAGGAAGCCCUCCGAAUUACUUCUUGAACUGAGUGGAUGGAGAUCUGAGUGGUGAAGAAGGGGUGAGAGACAUAUGAGGGAAACACACCCUCAAAACGUUAUUUUUGGUCUCUAGGAGAAGAAGAAAAAAAUCGCUGCACCCCCACCAAGGACACUGAGCGUCAGUGCAAACCUGGCACUUUCCGUGGAGAAGAUGCACCUGAAUUCUGUCAAAAAUGCAGCACCAGGUGAGACACAGGAGCCUGGGGGGCUUCCAAGCCACAGGACACCCCAGUUUCCUUGUACCCAUUUCUCUCCCCUGCUUCUGUGAAGCCCCUCCCAGCUCUCAGAGCUCCCUUGUGCCUGUGGGGUCACCACUGUUUGUCCUGCAUGGCUUUCUCAGUGGCCCCUUCCCACGUCUCCUCGGGAGGGGCCUAGAAAGACGGAAGGGUUGACAGCAGACAGAAGUCAUGAUGAGGCCACGUGUGUGCUCCUUCAAGGUUCCUAUAAAACCGGAGCCAACUCGACAGGCCUCACACCCAGCCCCUUGUUCCCAGUAGCACCUGAAUCUUUUCCUAUUGGGGACUCAGGGGCCAGUAGUAAUUCACUAUCCUCUGAUGCUCCAGUGUUGGCUGAGAUUGGUAGGAAGAGUCAACAGGUGGAUGAGAGGGCCUCGUAGUCAAGUUUGACUGGAGGAUGAGUCAAACUUGUGCCCACACUCUUCUGAUCUUGACCUGGAUGAGGCACCCUCCCCCCAUCACAGAGCUUUGCAUGCAGCCCAGGGAGGCCAGGCGGGCCUUGCAGAGGAAGCUGAGCUCCUGAAGGACAGCUCUGAACACUCAGUAGGAGCCUGGGGGCCACAGUACACGAUCCUGGAUCCUUCUCCCACCCAGUGAGGCGGAGUCAAAAAAUUAAAAAUAGGACUACCACUUGAUGCAACAAUUCUACUUCUGGCUAUCUGAAGAAAAUGAAAACACUAACUUGAGAAGGUGUAUGCAUCUCCGUGCUCAUUGCAGCGUUAUGUACGAUAUCCAAGAUACUAAAGUAACCACCUCAGUGCUCACCAACAGAUGAAUGGGUAAAGAUGGUAUGGAAUAUAUAUACAAUGAGAUAUUAUUCAGCCAUAAAAAGAAUGAAAUCUUAACAUUUGUGACAAUAUAGAAGGACCUUGAAGGCAUUGUGCUAAGUGAAAUAAGUCAGAGAAAGACAAAUACCUCAUGAUCUCACUUAUAUGUAGAAUUUUAAAAAAUAAUAAAACCAAGCUUAUCGAAACAGAAAACAGAUUGGUGGUUGCCAGAGGCUAAUGGUGAUGAAAGUUAGUUAGGUUUAUUGUGAUGCUCAUCUUGUAAUAUCUACAAAUAUUAAAUCAUGCUAUUCACCUAAAACUAAUGUAAUGUUAUCUAUAAAUUAUGCUGUAAUAAAAAAAUAAAAGGAUGGAAAAAUUAUCUUUUCAGAGGUAUAAAUGUGAACUCAGUAGUAGCCUAAGUUUCUUAGAGAAUCGUUGUAAUAAACCAAGUAAAUAUUUGUUGAGUAUUUAUUACAUACCAGUCACUUCUAGAUACUUUACAUCUAUUAAAUUAUUUAAUUCCCUUAACCAAUCUAUGUAGAUACUAUUUUAUACUUAUUUUACUGAUCAGUAAACUAAGGCACAGAGAAGUAAGUUGCUCAGAGUCACGCAGUAAGUAAUGGAGCUAGAGAUGGGUUUUCUCUAGAGCCGGCAUAUCUGACCGCAAGGCUGCAGAGCCUCCUGGGGCUGGGCUGCAUCUAUACAGCUGCACUAUUCAAAGCAAGAUAGCAAGAGCCCCUUCUGCCCCUUCUGGUCAGAUUAUAUCUGAAAUCCUGUUUCCUAUUCUAGGCCUAUAAAGGCUGCUGACAAAAAAAAAAAAAAAUUGGUUUAUCUACAGGAAAAUGACCCAGAUAAAAAUGAUACUUUCGACUCAGUGAAAGGGAAACAGUUGAAGAGUCUGGGGUUGUCUGAUCUAAUGAAUCACCUGCCCAAAGUCAAAAUAUUAAUAAAUCAUGGAGCUAGGUCCAUGUCAAGAUCUGCUGAACUCCAGAGCCCCUUCUUGUUGCCGACUCAAGGACAUUGCUCAAGAAGAUCACAGGCGAUGCCUUCCAUCUCAGAGGUUCCUUCUUCCCUUUCUCUUUCUGAGAAUCCACAUUAGAAGGCCACUGUGGUCAGGUUGGCAGGUCACUGGUUGACCAAUGGCCUUCUCCAAGGUUUGCUGGCAGAUACCGCCUUGCCUUGAACCCUAUUGAUCCCAGAAGUUUGCCCACUGCUCAGGCAGGCUCUGCGGGCAGGAGGAGAUGGUGAGUCAUGGCCCUGCCACCCCUGUCACCCAUCUGUUCUCGUGGCGAGGAGAACGAAAAUGAUCUCUUUGUGGUAUCAUAAAACCCAGAGUUGCACAGCUAGCUAGUGUGGAUUCAAGCUACAGGCCAGCUAGGUAGUCAGGAUUCAAGCCAAGGCACUCAGAUGCCAGAAUCAGAAUGAUAGCUGGGGAAGUGUAAGCUCACAAUGGAAAGCUCAGCAAGGUUAUUUUUCAUGCACAAAGAUGGGAAGUUUAUUUUUCUUUAUAGAGCUUCUUUG